GAUGAACGCUAGCGGCAGGCUUAACACAUGCAAGUCGAGGGGCAGCAUAAUGAAGUAGCAAUACGGAAUUGAUGGCGACCGGCGCACGGGUGCGUAACGCGUAUGUAACCUACCCUUAACAGGGGGAUAACACUGAGAAAUUGGUACUAAUACCCCAUAACACUUCGGAGGGCAUCCUCUGGAGUUGAAAGUUCCGGCGGUUAAGGAUGGACAUGCGUUGUAUUAGCUAGAUGGUGAGGUAACGGCUCACCAUGGCGACGAUACAUAGGGGGACUGAGAGGUUAACCCCCCACACUGGUACUGAGACACGGACCAGACUCCUACGGGAGGCAGCAGUGAGGAAUAUUGGUCAAUGGACGCAAGUCUGAACCAGCCAUGCCGCGUGCAGGAAGACGGCUCUAUGAGUUGUAAACUGCUUUUGUACAAGGGUAAACCUCGGUACGUGUACCGAGUUGAAAGUACUGUACGAAUAAGGAUCGGCUAACUCCGUGCCAGCCGCCGCGGUAAGAC
rnacentral:rRNA from 1 species